AAUUACUUGAUGGUGAGAGAAUAAAAUUUGAGAAAAUAAUAGUUAAGAUUUGAAGGAGAGGUGAGUUGAAGUGGUAGGGUUCAGAAUGUUUUAAUUAUUCAAAAAGCUUCUACCUACAGCUUUGCGCAGAGCCGAGUAGUGGUGUUGAACUAUUUAUCCGAAUUAAUAAAAGACUGAGCAGCAGCAAUGCUUAAAAGUCAUAAGAAAUUUGCAGGGAAUAAUAAAAUGAAAACCCAAAGCAGAGCUCAUCAUAAAAGCCCAAAACCAACAAAAAAUCUCAGACUUACAACAGAGUAUGAAACUGAAAUACUGGGAAUUGAUGAGGGAAUGGAGCAUCAUCUUCUUCACAGAUCUCUUCUUCUUUGGCUUCCAAUUCAGUCCCUCUGGGAAAACCUUCAUCUCUCAAUUUUACUAACAAAUCAAUUGAGGUAAAGCUGACUUCAUCCUCCGCAUCUCCAGAUGUUGCUCAAUUUCAUCCUUUCAUUUCAUUUCUUAUUAUUUUUUAUUUUUAAAUAUAUCAUCCAGUCUUAAUUUAUUUUUAUUAUUAAUUAAAAAUUUGUUAUUUAAGUAUCAAAUUAAAACCAAAUUUUAAAUAAUAAUAAUUAAAAUCAUUUCUUAAUUGGUCAUCAUUAUACAGUAUUUUCUUAAAUUAAUGAUUAUAUAUAAACUAUUUAUUUUAUCAUAGGCCUUAUAUUCGCUGAAGAAACUUGCUUCUAAUUUUGUUGUCAAAUUGAAAUAGUAAUUUUAAAAAUAAAUAAACAAGAAAAAAAAUAUGUUCAAUAGUCAAGUAUGUAAAAUGAACUUGAAACAAUAAAAUAGAGAUUUGUAGCUUUCUGCGAAUGCCUAAAUUUCUCUUUAAAUCCGUCCAUUUUUUAAUCAUAAUUUAAGCCCUCAUUAUUUCCAACUUUGUAAAAAUUAGGAAACCCUUUAUUAGAAAUACAAAAUUAGACCCUAUCAACUUCCUAUCAAUUUAAUUUGAUUGUCCAUAUGCAUGUCCAGACACGAUAUUUAACAAACAAUGAAACAGAAAUAGAAAACAAAGGAGUAAAGAGAACUUUUGCACGUAGUUCGAAAAUAAUUCUACUGUGCGGAGCCUCACUUACUUAAUAAUUUUUAUUCAACAAUCUUUCGGAUCGCCUAUUUGUUUUCGCUCAAGUUAUCCUUUCACAAAGAAGUAAUUGCGGCCCAACAUCGAUCCUAACCCCUAUUGUUACAAAUCACUCGCCCAAAAAAUCUCACUUACAUCAAAUAUAAACUCUCCAAUAAAAUCCUAACACGAGUGCAAACAAUCAAGUAAAAGAUACACAAAGAAUCAACCAAAAACACUCUUCAAAUGUGCCACACAAUAGCCUAUUUAUAGGCUAAAAUUGACAUCUUCUCUA
rnacentral:lncRNA from 1 species